CAAUAGCGUAUAUUAAAGUUGUUGCGGUUAAAAAGCUCGUAGUUGGAUUUCUGCUGAGAACGACCGGUCCGCCCUUUGGGUGUGUAUCUGGCUCUUUCUUGGCAUCUUCUUGGUGAACGUUGCUGCACUUGACUGUGUGGAGCGCUACCCAGGACUUUUACUUUGAGGAAACUAGAGUGUUUCAAGCAGGCAUACGCCUUGAAUACAUUAGCAUGGAAUAAUAAGAUAGGACCUCGGUUCUAUUUUGUUGGUUUCUAGAGCUGAGGUAAUGAUUAAUAGGGAUAGUUGGGGGCAUUCGUAUUUAACUGUCAGAGGUGAAAUUCUUGGAUUUGUUAAAGACGGACUACUGCGAAANCANNNGCCAAGGAUGUUUUCAUNGA
rnacentral:rRNA from 1 species